GAUUGUAGUCUGCAACUCGACUACAUGAAGCUGGAAUCGCUAGUAAUCGCAGAUCAGAAUGCUGCGGUGAAUACGUUCCCGGGUCUUGUACACACCGCCCGUCACACCAUGGGAGUCGGAAAUGCCCGAAGCCGGUGACCAAACCAAUAAGGAAGGAGCCGUCGAAGGCAGGUCUGAUAACUGGGGUGAAGUCGUAACAAGGUACC
rnacentral:rRNA from 1 species